GUCGAACGAGAUCCUUCGGGGUCUAGUGGCGCACGGGUGCGUAACGCGUGGGARUCUGCCCUUAGGUUCGGAAUAACAGUUAGAAAUGACUGCUAAUACCGGAUGAUGACGUUAAGUCCAAAGAUUUAUCGCCUGAGGAUGAGCCCGCGUAGGAUUAGCUAGUUGGUGUGGUAAAGGCGCACCAAGGCGACGAUCCUUAGCUGGUCUGAGAGGAUGAUCAGCCACACUGGGACUGAGACACGGCCCAGACUCCUACGGGAGGCAGCAGUGGGGAAUAUUGGACAAUGGGCGCAAGCCUGAUCCAGCAAUGCCGCGUGAGUGAUGAAGGCCUUAGGGUUGUAAAGCUCUUUUACCCGUGAUGAUAAUGACAGUAGCGGGAGAAUAAGCCCCGGCUAACUCCGUGCCAGCAGCCGCGGUAAUACGGAGGGGGCUAGCGUUGUUCGGAAUUACUGGGCGUAAAGCGCACGUAGGCGGCUUUGUAAGUUAGAGGUGAAAGCCUGGAGCUCAACUCCAGAACUGCCUUUAAGACUGCAUCGCUUGAAUCCAGGAGAGGUGNNNNGNAUNCCNNNUNUAGAGGUGAAAAUCGNUANAUAUCGGGAAGACAACCAGUGCGAAGGCCGCUCCAUGGGAUUGUUAUUGACGUUGAGGUGGAAAACGUUGGGGAGCAACAGGGAUAGGAUCCCUGGUAGUC
rnacentral:rRNA from 1 species